UCUAGUUGAUAUAUCACAUGCUGAAACUACUCUCCUUUGGAUAAUCCAGUACGAGCCAUUGCCUGCAUUAGCCAAUACAUCCACAGCCCAAUCAUUAGAAUCACCACCUGCACUAAAAUUAAAGCCACUUCUGAUCGCACUCAAGUAUGUAUUUCUAGGACCUAAUGACACCCUCCUGGUGAUCAUUACAUCAGACUUGACCC
rnacentral:lncRNA from 1 species